GACGAACGCUGGCGGCGUGCUUAACACAUGCAAGUCGAACGAAGUGGCGAACGGGUGAGUAACACGUAAUCAACCUGCACUUCAGAGGGGGACAACAGUUGGAAACGACUGCUAAUACCGCAUACUGAAGGACGGGAUUGCGUUCGCUUAGCUAGUUGGAGGGGUAACGGCCCACCAAGGCAAUGAUCAGUAGCCGGUCUGAGAGGAUGAACGGCCACAUUGGGACUGAGACACGGCCCAGACUCCUACGGGAGGCAGCAGUGGGGAAUCUUCCGCAAUGGACGAAAGUCUGACGGAGCAACGCCGCGUGAGUGAUGACGGCCUUCGGGUUGUAAAGCUCUGUUAAUCGGGACGCGGUACCGGAAUAGAAAGCCACGGCUAACUACGUGCCAGCAGCCGCGGUAAUUC
rnacentral:rRNA from 1 species